rnacentral:lncRNA from 1 species
GUGAUAAACCAGAUAAAGGGUGGCUUUAUAUGAUGGUGCAGUCAUAAAUCUAACCAGGGAUACCUUUAUUUUAUGAAAUCUCACUGUGAUAUGAUUUGAAGCUAGAAAUGGUUCCUAGCUCUAAUAACUGCAGCCUCACACAGUUCAUUCAUUCCUCUGGAGUGGCUCCUCAACAGCAGAUGCAUCCAGAGAUCCUUAUGUUUUUAUUCAUUCAUUAGGAACACUGCUUGGUUAUCUUGAGUUGCCAGUUUAAUAGUUUUUUGAGUGUUUAUUCCUCCCAAAUCAUUCCGUUCUUUUUGAAAAGUUGUAUAUUUCCCUUUUCAGCUCUCAUUUCACUCUUCAGUGUUCCUGUUAUUUAUGAACGGCAUCAGGCACAGAUAGAUCAUUAUCUAGGACUUGCAAAUAAGAAUGUUAAAGAUGCUAUGGCUAAAAUCCAAGCAAAAAUCCCUGGAUUGAAGCGCAAAGCUGAAUGAAAACGCCCAAAAUAAUUAGUAGGAGUUCAUCUUUAAAGGGGAUAUUCAUUUGAUUAUACGGGGGAGGGUCAGGGAAGAACGAACCUUGACGUUGCAGUGCAGUUUCACAGAUCGUUGUUAGAUCUUUAUUUUUAGCCAUGCACUGUUGUGAGGAAAAAUUACCUGUCUUGACUGCCAUGUGUUCAUCAUCUUAAGUAUUGUAAGCUGCUAUGUAUGGAUUUAAACCGUAAUCAUAUCUUUUUCCUAUCUAUCUGAGGCACUGGUGGAAUAAAAAACCUGUAUAUUUUACUUUGUUGCAGAUAGUCUUGCCGCAUCUUGGCAAGUUGCAGAGAUGGUGGAGCUAGAAAAAAAAAAAAAAA